AGCCUCACUACCUUCUCUCUCAAGAAUUACAGCCUUCAGGAAGAAAGAAGUGUAUGGAAGUAUACAAAUUGAGGAAAUCAGAGUGUACAUCGAUGCGUGAAGGAACUAUGGCAAGAGCUUCCAGAAUUGCCCGGUUCGCUGGUACCUCAUAUCAGCACGCCAUGACAAUCUGGUUCCCUAUAGAGUUGCCUUGACCUUUGUCAAGAUACAAGGAAAAGAUUUUUCAGCCGUGUUCUUCAUCCCUGUCUACUUUGGUCAAAUGACACUCUCUGACAGGUACAGCAGAAACUUGUGAGAACUAGAAAGCCCCCAGUGUUAACCAUGGUUUCCUGAAGAGAAACAUUACAAUGUGAUCUGAGGUUCGUUGCACUGGAGGAGAUGCAAAAGGCUGCUGGCCAAGGUGCGCUUCUCCUGACACCACAGCCCAGGGAGAGGCAAGGAGCUGCAGCCUGUACAAACCACCUAGGGCACAGCAGCCAGGGGCAUGGAAAAGAUAAAUUCAGAGCUCCAGACUGAACCAAAUGUCCCAGAGUGCACAACCAACAUCUGAGGAGGAACAGCUGUAGCAAGAGGGGAGGAGACUUUUUGACAAGGUUCCCAUCAAAUGAUGACAUAGGAUAUGUGACUUUCCUAAUGGUGUACUGGAGUAUUUGUUUGAAGAGUAAGCUCCAGCUGGCAUGAUUUCAAAACCUGACUGUAAAUUACUUCUCAUCCACAGCUGUCUGAACCACAAAGACAUGAACUCAGGUUCUUCACAUUGCUUCAUUCUGACAAGAAGGACUAAAACAUUUUCACAUCAUAAUUACUCUAAGUUGCAUUGUUAAAUCUUGGCCAUGAAACAGAUCUUGAUAUGGUAUCUUUAUCCAUUAUUUUGACAUUGCUGUACAUAAUAUGGAUCAAUUUUUAGAGUAAAAAGUGCUGAAGGAGUCUCUAUAAAGAGGUAUAGGCAAUAAAUGUUGACAUUCUACUCUUCUUGAGAGACAAAAUAAUUGAGUAGUGAAUAUAUUGCAUUAUGUAUGAGCAAAUGCUUCAAGCUUAUAAUCUUGCAAUGACUCUUUAUUCAUAUUUGGGUCCAGCUGAAUUCAGUGGAAUGACAGGAUCUAAACUUAAAAAUAUUCAUCUGUAACCAUUAUGCUAUAUACUCUUUGUUUUCUAAACAGAUUGAGCAUACCUCCCCAAGAGGGGUAGAGUAAAGAAGUAAUCAUGCACAUUAACUUGUCCUGGCAUGAGGGGAAAUUGCUUUUUGGAAAAAUUAUAGUGAGGAAGUUGAAGAUCGUAUUAAAUGAGAAAAUUGAUUUGACAUCUCAUCUCAAUCUUUGUGUCCUGUAAGCAUUCUUAAAACUUAGAAAAUUAAUAAAUAUA